GCUGCGUCCCCUGAGGUGUCCAUCUCCGUACAUCCUGGUUGGGUUCCUGGUUCACCAUGGACCUGAUGAAGAAUGCAAGGCGAUGGAAGCUGCCUGCAGCACUGGACAUGUACAAGAGUAUGUACCAGAAGGACUUUUGCUGGCACAACACCUACGAGCCACCCAACCAGGAGAACGUACCGAUAACUUCAUACCAUCCUACUUCAGAUGGCUACGUACCAAGGUGCUACCUACCCAAGUCCGAGCCUCCCAUCCAAGCGACACCAGGCCGGUCAGGGAAACUGGAGAUCCUCUCUGAGCCGCAGGAAGGGCUGCUCUGUUGUUGCCGGGAUCUCCCACCUCCUGCUCCAGCAGCCGGAACAGAAGGGACGAUGCUGCACAGGGAGAAAGUGUCCCCAGGCUUGGUCUCCUACGUGCAAUUCACCCGGGAUUUGUACCGGGAAAGGCUGGACAAUGCUGAUCAAUACAAAAACAAGAUGCUGGGCUCAUCUGUUGUGAUGGAAGACUGCUCUGUACCUGACUGGAGAAGUACCUACCAGCUGGAUUUCCCACGCCGGACAGGAGUCCAUGGUGGAUUAUACACAGAGCAGACGAGGCCUUCUCCCGUUUUCCCUGCAGACAGCCGCCUCAACCAGGGCCGCUGGGUAUCUGAGUAUGCAGACAACUACAGUGUUUUCUUGAAGAAGCUGGACUGGUCCACUCCAAUCCCUUGUCCAUGGAUGCUGUCUGGGAAGGAUAUGCGAUGGAGACCGCGAUGCACACCACGAUGCCCUGAGUGGUGCUAAGGUGGCCAUGCUCCUUGGCCCUCCAAGCUGCCUGUAAUAUUGCUCAUCCAAGACCCUGAAAGCCUGGAAACCUCCUCUCUUCCAAACCAUGUCUAUCAGAUGUGAAACGUAUGGCAAAGACCUCUUUAAGUGCAAAUUAUCAUUAAAAUCUCCCAAGAACCUCAGCUUUUAUCAUUGUCAGAAAAAGACUUUUUUGGGGGAACAGUGUGGGCUACAGAGCCAAGUC
rnacentral:lncRNA from 1 species